ACGAUGUUUAUGUCAAUGUGUGUGUGUGUGUGUCGCAUAUCAGUUCAGCUUUCCAUGCGAGUAGAUAAAUUACCCAAGAGUUUCAUCUUUUAACACUCUAAACUUUGAAUCUUUCCCGCUCAUUCUGAUUGAUAUUUGAAACCACGGAGGAAUUUAGAAAUGUUCGAAACUACCUUGUUAAGAAUCCGGCAUUUUCACCAUAGCAACAGCAUAACGACGCUCAAAUUCCGUUAUGACUUUUUGUUUUUGUCUGACCUCCAUAACUAUUAGGAGUCCGUUUGAACUAUUUUCUUGAUGCUCACCCCCUUUUUUUAGGCUUUUUAGGAACGUUUUUUUAUUUUACAGAAAUACAACUUUUUGCUCCUCCUGAAUUUCGAAACCACCGUCAUCUCCAAACUCCCCGACAUGAUUCACUCAACUUAAGACAGGCUUGUUUCCAUGACGACCUCUGAUCCUUGCGGUUCUCUGAGGACGCCGCACUGCUGAAGACGGGUGAAUCCGUAUUGAAAGCGCAGCUUCUUCCGCAGCGCUGUUUCAGCCAUGGCACCGACUAGUUUGCCAACUCCAAAGCCCCCAGUCACAUCCCGAAGCAAGACGCACCGAACUGAGGUGAAGAUGUCUAUAGUGAACAUAUGUGGCCCUUUCUCCACUGAACUUUUAAGUCGGAAUCAACAGAUCAGCCCAUCCCACCAAAGCUUCUCAGAAAAUGGACAACAGCCGGAAAAGAGAUCUAUCGAAGUCAGCAGGCGAUUUGAGGAACUGCAAACAUCCAGAACAGCAAGUUCUACCAAAAUUCCAACCCAAUGGAUAGAAAUCACUUAAACAUUUUAAAGGCUAUUAAUGCCUGAAAUGUCUCCAAUGCAUCUUAAUUAGGAUAAUUAUGCAAAUAAGAGUGAAUCUAAUUAAUUGCUAGUAAUUCUAAAUGCUCGAUGGUACUUAGCAACACCAAUUACUAAGCUUAGGAGACACUUUUUCACCAAGAGUGAAGUUGAUUUGAGUAGUUUUAUUUCAUCUUACUGAAAUCAGUUAAAGCUGCUCUUUGCAUUUACUGAGAUUAUCUCCUUUUUUGAUGAUAUGAAACACUUAAGUGUGGGGAAAAACCCCCAAGAAGAAAUCUGUAAGGAGAGAAAUGGCUCAAGGUCAUCUAUUUCUGUUCUCGGUGUGGUUCACCAAAUACUUCUCCACUGCACUUUUUCCUUGAGCAGUUUUUGAUGAAGCUAAGAUCCAUAUCCUUGAACAAUUCUUCUUUUUUUGCUGUUAGCUCUUCUAAGCUCUUAAUUAAUUAGAUUACAUUUACCUGAAAUAGAUAGUAAAAAAAAAUCUACCACUAAGAGAGAAUCAGUGGUAAUUGUAUGCCAGUUUGAGAACAAUUGAAAGUCCUUAGUUUCAUUUUAGGAAAAAAAAUAAAUACUCCAGACAUUUACUGGUUUGCAUUUCCAUUUCAUAUGACAUAUAUUUCUUUCAGAUGGUGUCAAACUUCAACAGCGUUUCCAGGACUCGUUCAUCCAAAUGCAUUCACUGCGCAGAAAGGCCGUCUUCCGCUGAACUGAAGAACUGUCUAAUCAUCUCGUCUCUGCAGCUUCACUCAAAGAAAAAAGCAGAUAUCCAUUAAAGCUUUUCUCUCUACCAGUAAACCAGAAAUACUUUAUUCUGUUCUGCUGCGACAUCUGAACUACUGACUGAUACAGAAUCUCUUUAGCAGUCCAGCAUUUCUGAAACCUCGGACCUCAGGUUUAAAGUGUAUUUUCAUGAGAUAGCAGAGAAAGUGCUAAAGUGUAGAGUAAUACAACAUUGCCCCUGUAGCUUUUGCUGCUGCACACUGCCACCCAGCAGGCAGAAAGAAGCAAUAGGACACUGUACUCAUGCUUACUAAAAAGACAAAUUUGUUGUUUGGAAAUAUUAACAAUUGCAAAAAAAAAAAAAGAAAAAAAAAGAUCUAAGACAGUCUAGGAGUGAAAACUAAGUAACCAUCUAUAGCUUCUUUUUUUAAAACAGCAUUUCUGUUAAGCAGUUCACUGCAGGCUGUACGGAGUAGAUAGCCUAACUAAUUUUUACACCAUAAUUAUUCUAGUCUUGAAUUGUGACGCUCAUGGUGGCAACAUGUUGAAGGAGCGCUCUCAUGCACUGCAUGUUUAGACAAUUAUUCUGUCUGCAUAUGCUGCUGGAUUUUUGCUCUAGCGUAUAUUUUUUCCAGACAAUUGUUAUGACGAGUAACAGGGACAAAGAGGUAUUCUUCUUACAACUGGAAGCAGCUGAGAAGGAUCGUACAAGCUGAAAUAACACCUGCCCUACGAGGCUCCAUGUAUGGAGAGCAGGAUCAACAGAGAGAGAGAGAAGGAGGAAGUUCGAAUCUCUGAGGGGUUUUCACCAUUCGGCAGACAUGGACCUAAAGAGGAGUGGCAAAAAGCAAAUGAGGUAGAUUAGCAGUGCUUGUCAACAACAGAUGGUGCCAUGUAGGAAAUUUUAAUAUCAUAUCUGCUGCCUGGAAAUAAGAGAUUUUAGUGUGUCACACAGCAUUCCGAUCAGAGCCUUCUUCAGGCUCACUGCGAUGCCGACUGCUACUGGAGAUCCUUCCCACCCACAACAACAAAGGCUUGAAGACACAUGGACGAUACGACUUAUGACACCUGGUUUCCUUUUAGGAUAAAUAAGCGUUUUUGAAUUGAAUUGCAUAAGGAAGAGAACGACACAGUCAUCUGAAAACCACAACUAAAUUUAGCGGGUGUUAGAUUUUUGUCUAUGUCUGAGACAAAAUAACAGUGAAAGGUAUGUCAUUUUUUCAACAAUAAUUAAAAUGUUACAUAAAUAUUGUUUAAAUCUUCAAAACUGUGGUAUUUUUACCGAAGGUCCCCUUAAAAAAAAAAACUCCUGCCUGCCUGUGUAGACACACAAGGAAAGACACAGAUCAGAAAAGAUAGAUUCGUUUAAUUUGUACACAUCUACAAGUGCAGGACAUUGGUGGAAUAAAUGUCAUGUUCCCUCAACCUGCCUCCACUGCUUCAUCAAAAUAGUAGAAAAUAUAUGUUUUAAAA